rnacentral:rRNA from 1 species
AUUGAGACUUGUAUGAAAGGCUAAACGAGGUCUUAACUGUCUCCUGUAGGUAAUCUAUGAAAUUAGUAUUCCCGUGCAAAAACGAGAAUGUGAACAUAAGACGAGAAGACCCUGUGGAACUUUAAAAUCACGACCACCUUACAACCUUACACAGCCCCACUGGGUCCACCCACACAUAAACCCCUGGUCGACAUUUUUCGGUUGGGGCGACCUUGGAGAAAAAAAAAUCCUCCAAACCCACAGACCACAACUCUUCACUAAGACCAACUCCUCAAAGUACCAACAGUAACCAGACCCAAUAUAAUUGAGCAAUGGACCAAGCUACCCCAGGGAUAACAGCGCAAUCUCCUCCAAGAGCCCAUAUCGACAAGGAGGUUUACGACCUCGAUGUUGGAUCAGGACAACCUAAUGGUGCAACCGCUAUUAAGGGUUCGUUUGUUCAACGAUUAACAGUCCUACGUGAUCUGAGU